rnacentral:snoRNA from 1 species
AAGCCAUGAUGAGGGCAUUGGUUGGUAUAGCCUUUGAAGCGCUCCCAGGCUUCACAGAAGCUUUCUCCAUUCUUUUCUGCAAAACCAGAAAUCUC